AUGUGCAGUCCGACGGCGCGUGUGUGCUUGUGUCCGGUUCACGGGCGUACUGUGUGUGGUGCUUGCGUGCACACGGCAGCCACAUGUUGUAUGAGGAGAAGCCAAGCUAAAAAGAAGAACACACUACGCAAGACAGGCACAGAGAGGUUCAGGGCUUCAGGCAAUGUGAUGGUGCAGCCGCUGCAGCAUCAACUACAACAGCGCGGCGCUCCUGGUGCUCCUCUCCCUCUGCUGCUUUGCAUGCUGCGAUGCCACCGCCUCCUCACUGUACGAAAAGGUUUGAGUGGGGAAAAAUUGCAGCUCAUGAAUGAACCUGGAGAAGUUCUAAUGCGAUGGUGCUAUUCUCUGCAGUUAUUUGUUUCUCGUGAAUGCAUUUGGUUGUGGCUGAUGGAUCUCUAUAUUCAUAUAUUAUUUGCUUUAUUUUGGUGUGACUUGCACCCAGCUCUCUCUAUUCUUUUUUUAAUCAACUCACUUAUGGACGUACUGAGUAAUUCGUGCGACUUUGCUGCAUCUUGUUUCGGUCUGCAGCCCAGCACUGAUUCUUCAGUCUGA
rnacentral:rRNA from 1 species